AUCAUGUUGAAACACCGGAUCCCUUACGACCACCGAAGUUAAGCAACCUUGAGCCUGGCCAGUACCUAUAUCGGUGAACGCUUGAGAAUACCAAGUGCUGUAG